rnacentral:rRNA from 1 species
UACGGUACCCCAGGAACAAGCGCCGGCUAACUUCGUGCCAGCAGCCGCGGUAAGACGAAGGGCGCAAGCGUUAUCCGGAAUUACUGGGCGUAAAGGGUGUCUAGGCGGUCGGUCAAGUCGACCGUGAAAGUCCUCGGCUAAACUGAGGAAAGUCGGCCGAAACUGAUCGACUCGAGGAACGUAGAGGGAAGCGGAACUCUCGGAGUAGCGGUGAAAUGCGUAGAGACCGAGAGGUACCCCGAUGGUGAAGACAGCUUCCUGGGCGUUUCCUGACGCUGAAGCACUAAGGCCAGGGGAGCGAAGGGGAUUAGAUACCCCCGUAGUCCUGGCUUCAAACGAUGUGGGCUUGGUGUCGGCCCCCUAUAGAGGGUCGUUGCCGGAGCUAACGUGUUAAGCCCACCGCCUGGGGAUUACGUCCGCAAGGAUGAAACUCAAGGGAAUUGACGGGGGCCCACACAACCGGUGGAGCACGUGGUUUAAUUCGAUGAUAAGCGAAGAACCUUACCAGGGCUUGACCUAGCGGUAGUAGGAUCCUGAAAGGGAAACGACCUCAAGCUUUGCUUGAGGAGCCGUGGCAGGUAUUGCAUGGCUGUCGUCAGCUCGUGUCGUGGGACGUUGGGUUAAGUCCCGUAACGAGCGCAACCCCUGCUCUUAAUUGCCAGCGGGUAAUGCCGGGUACUAUAAGGGGACUGCCGGAGAAUAUCCGGAGGA